UCAGAUGAAGGCGAUUGGAAAAUUCCUCCUGCAUCCAAAUAUGGCCACCAGUUAAGACUCAAGAGUGAUCCAGACCAAUCCAUCAAGCUUUCCUAAGGCAAUAUUUGGGACAACAUUUGUAAUGAUUUUAUUUCAAUAUCGGUCAAUCAAUCAAUGUUUAUUACAGUCUAUGACUGUUUAUUACAGUCUAUAGUGAUUUCAGUGUAUUUUUGGGUAGGUUUUAUAGUGAAACUAUUUGGCUAACGAUGCUCACUCUCACACUUUUCUGUCCUUCCCACCUUUCAAGUCACUGAACAUUAACAGAACAAACACAAUGAAAAACAAACAAGAGGAUACCUGAUUGCCCUUCCUGACACAGCCAGGCAACAAAACAAUGUGACUGCAAUUGACUAGAGAUAGGGUGUUGGCAUCCUGGCUCCUGGUCUAAUGUAUAGACUAGGCUCAGAGGGGAAGAAUCUGGAAGGACAACCCACACCGAUUCAAGGAAGCCUGAACUGACGCCGUGUAUGUGUGGGUGAGAGAGGCAACAGCUGACAACCAUCAGGGCUAAUCCAGAUUGAUCCAGCCCAGCUCUCGUUAUCCAACUGACCUUCACAAGAAGCUGCUUGCCUAUGGCGAUGCUACCAUCAGCUACGCCCCUGAUCCAGAGGAAACCAGCGUGGAAGAUGCCUCUGCAAAGCCCAAAGUCUCCCGGAGUUUGCCGCGAAGUGCCGAACGUGCAGGUGCCGGCUGAGCUCCGAGGCGGCCACAUGGAGAGGCUUGCGGAGCAUAUUUGAAGCCAUCUGGCAGUCUCUAAUUACCGACAUGACGAAGCUGCCUCUGAGCCCCCUUUUGCUGGAAACAAAGCCGAGCGAGUGGGAGAGAGAGGAGAGGCGAGCCGCAGAAAGCCGCCAGGCUUUCCGUGUAUGUUUUUCUGGGGGACUUGUUUUGUAUCACUUACGGGAUUAUUUAUGCCACUGAGUAGGAGGGGGUAGGGGAGGGAGCGGAAUCGAGGAGACGGGUUCUGGGAGGCUGCGACUCCUGCACCUUCCCCCCCCCCCCCGACACUGGGAAAUCGGAGACAAACAAGAGAGGUCUCUUAUAAAGCACAGCUUGUGUGUUGUAUGUUAUCACUCUCAGUUACACGAGAGCAAUCCCGGAUUCCAGGGGUGUGGGUGGGUGUGCGCACGCAUGCGCGCCAUAUACUGAGCCAGACCCUUGGUCCAUCUAGCCAAGUAUUGACUGCACUGACUGGCAGCGGUUUCUCCAAGGUUUCAGGUGGGAAACUCUCGCAGCUCUAGCUUGGAGAUGCUGCCAGGGAGGGAACUUGGAACCUAGAUGCUCUUCCCAUCCCCUCAGGGGAAUAUCUUACAGGGCUGACACAUGUAGUCUCCCAUCCAAAUGCUAACCAGGGCAUUAUUAUUAUUAUUAUUAUUAUUAUUAUUACUACUACAUUUAUAUCCCGCUCUUCCUCCAAGGAGCCCAGAGCGGUGUACUACAUACUUGAGUUUCUCUUUCACAACAACCCUGUGAAGUAGGUUAGGCCGAGAGAGAAGGGACUGGCCCAGAGUCACCCAGCUAGUCUCAUGGCUGAAUGGAGAUUUGAACUUGGGUCUCCCCAGUCCUAGUCCAACACUCUAACCACUACACCACACUGGCUCUUCUUACCCAAGGGGACAAGUCAUGCUUGUGACCACACGGCCAGCUCUCCUCCCCCUGGUGAGUGGUGUGUUUCUAGAAAGGAAGUUUGUGUUCUUCUGGCCUUUUUGUCUGAAAGUUCUACAACCUCAUGCCCCGUCUGCGAGAGAUGUCCGUGUCCUAUUUUGUGAUAUUUUAAAAGGCAUGAAUCCUUUAUUGUGAGCAUAGAGCAAGUCCACACGUGGAGCUAGGGGAGAGCUUGGGCUUGUGUUUGCCCCCUGUGUGUGACAUCACAUAUAGGACUGUGGCCAGUGCCCGGAGGGGCCUCAUACGGCCCUCCAGAGCUCAUUUCCAAACCGGCUUCAUUGUCAGCUGGGUGUUUUCAUCAUCGGUUUCUCCCCCAGCGAGGAAAGAAGAAAACACCCAGCCAACAAGUUCUGGAUACUGUCAUAUGUCAGUUCUGGAUGGGGUCACACUUCCCCAGAAGGAACAGGUAUGCAAUCUGGGGGUGCUUCUGGACACAAACCUCUCCCUGGUGUCCCAGGUUGAGGCAGUGGCCAGAGGUGACUUUUAUCAGCUUCGGCUGAUAUACCAGCUGCGUCCGUGUCUUGAGAUAAAUGACCUCAGAACAGUAGUACAUCUGCUGGUCACCUCCAGACUUGACUACUGCAAUGCGCUCUUUGUGGGACUGCCUUUGUACAUACUCCCGAAACUGCAGUUGGUCCACAAUGCCGUAGCCAGGUUGGUCUCUGGGUCAUCUCGGAGAGACCAUAUCACUCCUACCUUGAAAGAUCUACACUGGUUGCCAAUAGGUUUCCGGGCAAAAUACAAGGUCUUGGUUAUAACCUAUAAAGCCCUAAACAGUUUGAACCCUGGCUGUUUAAGAGAAUGUCUUCUUUGCUAUGAACCCCACCACCCAUCAGGAGGGGUUUGUCUGCAGUUCCUACCAGCUCGUCUGCUGGCUACCUGGGGCCGGGCCUUCUCCGUUGCUGCCCCAAGACUUUGGAAUGUGCCCCCUGCUGAAUGAAGAACUUCCCCAUCUACGACAACUUUUUAAAAUGCAGUCAAGACAUAUUUGUUCACCCCGGCUUUUUAUUAGAGACUGUUUUGAUAGUUUGAUCAUUUUUAAUUAACGUUGUAACGUUUUAACCUUUGUAUUUGUUAUUUUUAUUGUUUUGUUGUCUUUGUUGGCAGAGACUUGCGUUUUGGGCAGUAUACACAUAUGUUAAAUACAUAAAAUAAAUAAUCCAUCCUUUUUAAAUAAAUAAUCCAUUUUCUUUUUACUGUGUAUAUUCUGUGUAUAUUGAUGUUUGAUCUAAGAUCGUAAAUAAACAACUAACUAAUC